CGUCCCCGCUCGGCGGGGUCC
rnacentral:miRNA from 1 species